rnacentral:rRNA from 1 species
UUUGUUGCGCCCCGCACGGCCACGAAAGAGGGGGGGUGGGGGAGACGACGUGUUCUUAUGCCGCCCGCCCCUCAUUGUGUGUGCGCUGGCUCGCUUUUCUCCCUCUUCUUUUUCCCCUCAUCCUCGUCUUUUCACACCCUCCCACGCGUGUUGGGAGAGUGGAGGAGGAAGGGUGUGUGUUUGGAAGAAGAAGGGGCAGUGGGGGAAAUAUGGUGAGUGCUCGAGUGCGUACGCAGGUGUGUUGGCCUACGGCUCUCACA